AAGAUGCAAAGGCAUAUAGGGAAGGACUUGGACCACAAGAAAAGGCACGAUAUUUCGAGACAUGUCAAUUUAUAGGCAGUGCAGAUCCCGACGAGUUAUGCUUAGUUCACACUACAUGAUUUUAAGCCAGAUUUAAGCCCGAUUUGCAAAUCGUUCGCUCGCCGACAGGUCGGGGUGUGAUCGGGUGCAAAUCGCGGGGGAUUAGCGGGCGAUCGACGUUCGCCAAUCUGUUGGUAUGAAAGAGCCAACAACGCAUCAAAGACCCUCGCAGACGGCUCGCAGACGCGUCGCAGACACCAGAAAAAUAUCUAGCUUGUUAAGGCUCGUACACACUACAUGACUUUAAAACGUUGGUCCGAACUGUGCGGUUCACACUACAUGACUUGCUCUCUGUGAAAUCAGGAGUGUUCACGUUGUUGAUCAGUUCACACCACACGACAUAACGUGACUGCCCCACAACAGGAGGUAACGCACUACACGAGUUGAGAACAACUCUAUCACCCAACGAUUCUAUCUUGUCCACAAACCACGUUUUGUCACGAAAAAUCACGCGAUAAAACAAACCGGAAAUGACGCGAAACAACACGCGCACCAGUAAACCCACAGAAGAAGAAUGAAGACGACGCGCAAAACUUUUGUUUGUAUAUAUAGACUUCAGACAGAAAUUCGUGCUGCAAACCGUUUGCGCGAUGCAAAGCCGCAAAAGAAAAAAAUGAAGAGAUGUGUAUGUGGAGAGGUGGAUCAACACCACACGAGGACAGCAGGGAUUUAAGAGUUGGAGAAUAGGACAGGCUUCGCAAAGCAUGACUUGGAGAGCGUUUGUCUUUGACCCUGCGAUUCUAUGCAACAGGUGACAUGUUCAAGUCCCUCAGGUUCAAAUCCAGGAUGGGGGACCAGCACCAUCCCACAAAUAGUUUUGGAUAGCUGUUCUGUACCAGGUUAUAAAGGACGAUUUCUUGAAGACACCAUCAACGGAAGGAGAGUGGCAUAGCCGUGGACUUCGAAAGGAAGUGGCAGUUUCCACAUUGCUUUGGGGUACUUGCUACCACUCCAGCUGUAGCAGACUGCUGACCAAAACAUGGUUGAUGGGCAAUGGAAGAAUCGUGGGACGGGUGCUUUUCAACCGAUGGACACCACCUCACAUCGCAAUUGUAUGGCAACAGCAAAAGUGCAACGCAAUCUGAUGCGGGACUACUUUGUCUCACCAGCGUGUAGUGUUUAUUGGCAAGUUCAACACAUUUUAAAAGGAACUGAUGUAGAGUUAUCCCUGCAAACAGCAGAUUAAAGCCAGUUAUUGUCAGUUUAGGACAUUCGUUUUCUUGUGUGUUCUAAAGUCCUGUAUUUGUAAAGAACACAAUGUGGUUCACUUUUUCAUUGUUUUAAGUAUUCUGUUUAUUGUUGUGUUAUUAUUCAAUUAAUUUUAAUUACAUACAAAUCAAAAGGUGCAGGAAUGUAACAAAUAAAGGCAAUCUGCAUGUUACAUAAUACUAACUUUAUUUCGUGAUCCACACUCAUUAUUCACAGAACAUUAACAAUGUUUCUAUACUACGGUGCUAAACAUCAACAUAUCUGAUCAUGCUAAAAAUUCAUGGGGAUUGUGAUGAUAAGCUCUGGGCAUUUUUACUCAAUGUGGAUUAAUCUAACAGCCAAUCACACACAAUUAUAUUACGAUAUUUAUAUAUCACCCAGCCCUUAAAAGGGCUCUACAUAGGGAUUUUUGUAAUGUUUAAUUGUGUUAAUGUGGUGCACUGCACGUGUUCUAACAAUGUAUAUUUUGUCUGUCCACAUAAUAUACAUUCAAAUGUACUACAUUGUUUUCAAGUUGCACAAACAACAAUGCAAGGCUAUAAAGCACUAUUCAUAUUGGUGUUUUUUGUAAAAUAUGACAAUGUGUUUUAUACUUUUAUACUUUGUUGCAUUAAAUGUAUUACUUUCGAUAGACCAUUUAUUUCAUGAAACAGCACUGGGAAAUUCAAUCUAAACCCUUCAACAAGUUUAAUCACCUUAUUGAUAAAUGUAAUACAUAGUAAAGUCAAUAGUUUGUAAACAAAAACACAUCGGGACCGGACCGCACAUGUCAUGCAUGAUAUAUGCAUAGUGUAGGUUGUUCAGGUGACAACAUUGAUCCGCUUCUGUCAGUCUCCUGGGCGUUGUAUAGCAUCACCAUUAUGCUUCUUUUGAGAUGUGAUAAGAGAACUGGGUCUUCAAUAUUCCUCAAUUCCAAAGCCAUGGUUCCCAAAUGAAGUUAAUGUAUCCCUAGUUGUUUGUGAGUCCACUUGUGCAACAGUAAAGUCUAAAAUCAAUAAAUAAAUGCAAUGUUUCCAGUUAAUAUUUACCUCCACACUUUAUUUUAUUUGUCUAUUCAAACUAAAUAUGAGAAUUUAUUCCUUUGUUUACAAGCUCUUUCGACUGGUACAAAAGGCAGAUUGUAAUGUAACUGAAUAUCCUCUAAUACACAAUAUAUAACAAUAAACAGAAUUACAGUAAAAAGAAUUAUACACUUUAUAAUGUUUUACAGACAUAUCCCAAAAAUAGGAUUACGCAAGCUUCUAUAAUAUGCAUGUAUAUGGAAAUAUGACCAAUUAAUUUACAUUUUACCCUAUAACAUUUAGAUAAUGUAAUAAUAACAUUUGCUCACCUGGCUGUUUUACAGCGUUUGCUAUUUCUCUCCACCGUUUCUUUUUCUCAGCGCAGUUGUGGUAAAUAUAUGUGAAACGUCAUACAGACAUUUAUGCCUGAGUUCAAUGUUUUCUUGGUGACAUGCUGCUCAUCUUUCCGUGUGACGUCAACCCCUCGUCGGAUUGGCUGUAGCUCGUGACAUCAUAGGAGGUCGAGUCGCGCGACAGCUCCAGAUAUCUAACAAGCUAGAUAUUUUUCUGGUGUCGGCGACGCGUCUGCGAGCCGUCUGCGAGCGUCUUUGAUGCGUUGUUGGCUCUUUCAUACCAACAGAUUGGCGAACGUCGAUCGCCCGCUAAUCCCCCGCGAUUUGCACCCGAUCACACCCCGACCUGUCGGCGAGCGAACGAUUUGCAAAUCGGGCUUAAAUCUGGCUUAAAAUCAUGUAGUGUGAACUAAGCAUGAGAUAUCUGGAGCUGUCGCGCGACUCGACCUCCUAUGAUGUCACGAGCUACAGCCAAUCCGACGAGGGGUUGACGUCACACGGAAAGAUGAGCAGCAUGUCACCAAGAAAACAUUGAACUCAGGCAUAAAUGUCUGUAUGACGUUUCACAUAUAUUUACCACAACUGCGCUGAGAAAAAGAAACGGUGGAGAGAAAGAGCAAACGCUGUAAAACAGCCAGACUUUACUGUUGCACAAGUGGACUCACAAACAACUAGGGAUACAUUAACUUCAUUUGGGAACCAUGGCUUUGGAAUUGAGGAAUAUUGAAGACCCAGUUCUCUUAUCACAUCUCAAAAGAAGCAUAAUGGUGAUGCUAUACAACGCCCAGGAGACUGACAGAAGCGGAUCAAUGUUGUCACCUGAACAACCUACACUAUGCAUAUAUCAUGCAUGACAUGUGCGGUCCGGUCCCGAUGUGUUUUUGUUUACAAACUAUUGACUUUACUAUGUAUUACAUUUAUCAAUAAGGUGAUUAAACUUGUUGAAGGGUUUAGAUUGAAU